GCGGGGAUAGCUCAGUUGGGAGAGUGCAGACUGAAGAUCUGAAAGGUCGCGUGUUCGAUCUACGCUCACCGCA
rnacentral:tRNA from 1 species